GACGAACGCUGGCGGCGUGCUUAACACAUGCAAGUCGAACGGAAAGGCCCUGCUUUUGUGGGGUGCUCGAGUGGCGAACGGGUGAGUAACACGUGAGUAACCUGCCCCUGACUUUGGGAUAACUUCAGGAAACUGGGGCUAAUACCGGAUAGGAGCUCCUGCUGCAUGGUGGGGGUUGGAAAGUUUCGGCGGUUGGGGAUGGACUCGCGGCUUAUCAGUGUGUUGGGGGGGUAGUGGCUUACCAAGGCUUUGACGGGUAGCCGGCCUGGGAGGGUGACCGGCCACAUUGGGACUGAGAGACGGCCCAGACUGCUACGGGAGGCAGGAGUGGGGAAUAUGGCACAAUGGGCGGAAGCCUGAUGCAGCAACGCCGCGUGCGGGAUGACGGCCUUCGGGUUGUAAACCGCUUUCGCCUGUGACGAAGCGUGAGUGACGGUAAUGGGUAAAGAAGCACCGGCUAACUACGUG
rnacentral:rRNA from 1 species